AGUAGCCGCGGUAAUACGAAGGGUGCAAGCGUUAAUCGGAAUUACUGGGUGUAAAGCGUGCGUAGGCGGUUUGUUAAGUCUGUUGUGAAAUCCCCGGGCUCAACCUGGGAAUUGCAGUGGAUACUGGGUCACUAGAGUGUGGUAGAGGAUAGUGGAAUUUCCGGUGUAGCAGUGAAAUGCGUAGAGAUCGGAAGGAACAUCUGUGGCGAAGGCGACUAUCUGGGCCAACACUGACACUGAGGCACGAAAGCGUGGGGAGCAAACAGGAUUAGAUACCCCGGUAGUCCCUGUCUCUUAUACA
rnacentral:rRNA from 1 species